rnacentral:snRNA from 1 species
AAGUAUUACAGGUCUUUUAGAAUUUGUCUAGCACAU